AUUGAACGCUGGCGGCAGGCCUAACACAUGCAAGUCGAGCGGAUGAAGGGAGCUUGCUCUCUGAUUUAGCGGCGGACGGGUGAGUAAUGCCUAGGAAUCUGCCUGAUAGUGGGGGAUAACGUUCCGAAAGGAACGCUAAUACCGCAUACGUCCUACGGGAGAAAGCAGGGGACCUUCGGGCCUUGCGCUAUCAGGUGAGCCUAGGUCGGAUUAGCUAGUUGGUGAGGUAAUGGCGCACCAAGGCGACGAUCCGUAACUGGUCUGAGAGGAUGAUCAGUCACAGUGGAACUGGGACACGGUCCAGACCCCAAGGGGGGGCAGCAGUGGGGAAUAUUGGACAAUGGGCGAAAGCCUGAUCCAGCCAUGCCGCGUGUGUGAAGAAGGUCUUCGGAUUGUAAAGCACUUUAAGUUGGGAGGAAGGAUUGUAGAUUAAUACUCUGCAAUUUUGACGUUACCAACAGAAUAAGCACCGGCUAACUUCGUGCCAGCCGCCGCCGUAAUAC
rnacentral:rRNA from 1 species